GACCGCUGCGGAAUGACCUAUUCUGUCUUGUAAACAGGGGGUCACCGGUUCGAAUCCGGUAGGGGGCUC
rnacentral:tRNA from 1 species